CUUAGGGCCGGCCUUGCGAACACUGAAUCACUUCGAAGGGAUUCACCUCCGAACACAUGAAACGGUGCAACUUGACGGAUAGUUCCUUUUUUCAUAUCUUCAAAGUUAAAUACAAAUUGAAGGACAAAAGCUUCCUACGUCUUCCUCUAACUGACUCUACUUAAGAAAUAUAAAGAACUAUUCCAAACCACCACCAAACUUGAAUAAAAAUAAAGAGAAGUGUCUUGAAAAUGGGAGCUACUCUUCAAACGAAAGGAGUGAGAUAGGGUUUUCUUCGAUGGUCGAGAGAGGAGAGAGUGAUGAGAGGGAGUAAAAACCAAUUUUAUAGGGGAGAUAUUUAAUUCAACAGCUG
rnacentral:lncRNA from 1 species